rnacentral:tRNA from 1 species
GGCCUUGUAGCUCAGUUGGCUAGAGCGUUUGUUGUACUAAAGUGCUUCCCUUGCGAGCAUGGGUUUGCAUCCAUUUAAGGCCA